CGCAGCCGAGGGGGCGUGGCCUCCGGUCCCAACCAUCGCGCCGGGGGACGCCGGGCGGACUUCGCUGGGCGCCUCCAGGCUCUCCCGGAUCUCCGGCGGAGCGGGAGGCGUGUGGGGCCGAGACGGCCCCCCAGGAACCCCUCAUGAUCUAUGUAGCCGGGGCGCGGGUUAUUGUCGGAGCAACGCCUCCGCUUUCUUGGUCACCCCCCGGCCCAGGCUGGAAUGGGAGGACCCAGCGCGCCACGUGACCGAAUUCUGCGCGUCACGUGACGAGGAAGCAGCGCAGCGGCGCCUGGGGAAGGAGUAGCUCUGGCGGAGCUGCUAGUACCCGUGGCGUCGGGCUCUGAGGCGCGGAGGAUUGGAGCUGCUCGAAUUUUCCCCCUCAGUUACGCUAGUUGCGGGUGGUGUCCCGUGAUGGGGGGCAUGAGUCCUGUCUCACCAUGUCUGGCUGGCGGCGACCCAGGUGCCACGUGAUGGUCAUUUGAAGACAGGCCUGUCGGAUGUCAGCUUGCUUUUCUCCCUUAAGAGACGUUGCUCGCGGAAACUUCUGGGGCUCACUGGUGAUUCACCCGACGCGUUCCUUCGAACAGCUGUGUGGUGCUCCACUGUCACGGGCGUACGGCUGUUUCCGGUUUGGGGGCACACGACCGACGCUACGAAGGGACUGCACGGGAAGGCCACCCCCGCGGCACCUUGAGCCUCCCACUCCAUUCUGGAGAGGACACCCCAGGGGCCACACAAACUCCACACCUUCUCUGGGAGCCCUGCCUACGACCCUUCACCAUCCCACCCGUUGACCUUCCUCUUCGGCCCGGUGUUUGUCUUGUCACCCUACGUUAGUGACAUUUCUUAUUCACCCCGGCUUCCAGAUGGCUUCUGCGUCUUGCCUGAUGGUCUCUGUUCCGCCCUGUGCUGACUGUCGGGUGGUCCGUGAGACAGACUCGUACUGAAGGUUUGAAAGGGUGACAGCCAGGGCAGGGGCUAGGGGGAGGGAAGUGAGGCACUCCCCUUGGGCAUGACAUUUCAGGGGGUCCCCCAAAACUCAGUAAUCGAGAUAGAAACUAUUUUGGGCGCCUGGGUGGCUCAGUCGAUCAAGCGUCCCACUCUUGAUCUCGGCUCAGGUCACGAUCUCAUGGUUUGUGGGUUCGAGCCCCACGUUGGGCUGUGCAGUGACAGAGUGGAGCCUGCUUGGGAUUCUCUCUGCCCCUCCCCCACUUGUGCAUGCACACUCCCCACCCCGGCUCAAAAUAAGUAAAUAAACUUAAACGUGUUUUUAAAAAAGAUGGGAAAUAUUUUGCUGCAGUAUUUUAAAAAAAUCAAAAUGAAUGCAAAGAAAAAUCUAGGAUGAACAAGAUAUCAAAACGUAAAAUAAAUCCAGGAUCAGUUGUAAGACUUGACGUUAGCCAUCUGCAUUCUUAACAUUUUUUGCAAUCGCUCCUUCCACCAGAGAUUUCUCUCUGGCCGACCUGACCCUCGGGACCCCCAGACCCAACCCACAGGGGCCUUGCUGUAGAAAGUUCUUACUUUCUCUUAUUUCUGUUUAUUCGCAGACCCUCUCACCUCCUCUCUCCACCUCCCACACUCCCCUCAGCAGUGACAUACUUGAGGAAAGGCCGUAUUUUUCCUUAUUAUGUAAACAACUUAUUUGUCACAAGUAUCGUCUCUUCAACCUCUGCUCUGCCUCCUGGCUUUCUGAAACCAAGAUGGCUCUUCAAGGUGUUUUGUAAAUAAUAAGCCAUCUGCUACUUUAGCCACAAGAACAAGUGAUUUCCCAAGAUUAAAUUCUCAAGCAUGUUGCCUUUCCCACAAAUGUCUGUAAAUUGAGGGAAACAAAGAUUGACUCUCUUAAGAUUCAUACGUGGCCAAACCAUCCCCAGAGAACAGUUGGCUACAAUCAAGGGGUGUGUGUGUGUGUGUGUGUGUGUGUGUGUGUGUGUUUGAUGAAAGUAAGAGAAAGCAAGAUGGAUGUACACAGUUAACCCUACAAGACUCUGACAAGUAGAUAUUAUUACCCCUGUUUUAUAAACUAAGGCUCAAAGAGGGGAAGGGCUGUCCCGAAAGUCACACAAGUCACAAGCAGGUGAUCAAUGUUGCAACAGUCUCCGUUGCCUUAACUGGGGCUGCCCUUAGGGUGUGCAGGGUCUCACGCAAAUAACUCUUUGCGGGCCUCCUGCCUGUAUAAAUGGCUUGAUUGAUGUGGAGAAAGGGAACCCUCCUGCACUGUCUACGGCAGUGCAGACUGGUGCAGCCACUGUGAAAAACGGUAUGGAGGUUCCUCAAAAAGUUAACAAUAGAACUACCCUACGACCCAGCAAUUGCAGUGCGAGGUAUUUUACCUGUGGGUACAAAGAUGCUGAGUUGAGGGGUUAUAUGUGCUCUGAUGUUUAUAGCAGCAUUAUCAACAAUAGCCAAAUUAUGGAAAGAGCCCAAAUGUCCAUGGACUGACGAAUGGAUAGAGAAGAUGUACACGCGCGCGCGCGCGCGCGCACACACACACACACACACACGCACAGGAAUAUUACUCAGCCAUAAAAAAUGAACCUUGCCAUUUGCAACACAUGGAUGGAUCUAGAGUGUAUCAUGUUCAGCAAAAUGAGUCAGGUCAGAGAAAGACAAAUACCAAAUGAUUUCACUCAUUUGUGGAAUUUAGAAAACAAAACAGAUGCACACAGGGGAAAAAUAGAGAGUCAAAUCAUAAAACAGACUCUUAACUAUAGAGAACAAACGGAGGGUUGCUGGAGGGGUGGUGGGUGGGGGGAUGGGCUAAAUGGGGGAUGGGCAUUAAGGAGGGCGCUUGGGGUGAGCACUGGGUGUUGUAUGUAAGUGACGAAUCACUAAAUUCUACUCCUGAAACUAAUACUACACCAUGUGUUAACUAGACUUUAAAUAGAAACUCAAAAAAAUUUUUAAAAAAUGCAUUAUGGAAUUCACGGGUGCAUGGUGAUUUAUCAGUGGAGACACGGAGUACUGGUUAGUGAGGAGGUACUUACGUAUUUAUUUAUCGUGCAUCCACUGCACAAGGAGUGUGGCAUGAACAUUUGCUCCGGUGGCUUUCUGAGAAGGAGUGCUUAAGAGGUACAUUUUUUCUGAGAUCUUGCAUAUUUGAAAAUGUCUUUAUUCAACUCACAUUUGCUUGGUAAUUUGCCUAGGCCUAGAAUCCUGGAUGGGAAAUUAACCGCCCUCAGAAUUUUGAAACUAUUUUUGUGAGUGUAAGGAUAGACUAAUUUCCAUAACAAAGAAACCUCCGAAUACAGUGACUUAAACAUCCAACGAAUAGUCCACAUAUCACUUCUUUGUCUCUACUCUGUUUGAGGUUUCCUCAACUUCAUCUCUGCUUUUUUUCUAUUAAAUUAAAAAUAUUUCUGCCAGGGCACCUGGGUGGCUCAGUCGGGUGAGCCCCCAACUUCGACUCAGGUCAUGAUCUCACGGUUCGUGAGUUCGCGCCCUGCAUUGGGCUCACUGCUCUCAGUGCGGAGCCCGCUUCGGAUCCUCUGUCCAUCCCCCCGCCCCUCCCCCACUCGUGCACGCACAGGCACGCUCUCUCUCAAAAAUAAAUAAAACAUUUAAAAAUAAAUAAACACCUCAUUUAAAAAACCACUUCUGCUAUUGAAACUUUUCUGUCUUGUUCUUUGUUACUUUCAAAAAACAGUUGGCUCCACCAAAAGCAAUAAGAUAGUUAGGAAUAAUCCUAGCCAGAGAGGUGAAAGACCUAUACUCUGCAAACUAUAAACACUGAUGAAAGAAAUUGAAGGUGACACAAAGAAAUGGGAAGACAUCCCGUGCUCAUGGAUUGGAAGAAUAAAUAGUGUUGAAAUGACUAUAUUACCCAAAGCAAUCUAUACAUUUAAUGCAAUCCCUGUCAAAAUACCAACAGAAUUUUUCACGGAACUAGAACGAACAAUCCUAAAAUUUGUAUGGAACCACAGAAGACCCCGAAUGGCCCAAGCAAACUUGGAAAAGCAAAGCAAAGCUCGAGGCAUCAUAAUUUCAGACUUUAUAAGAUAUGUUACAAAGCUGUAGUAAUCAAAACAGUAUGGUGCUGGCAUAAAAAUAGACACACAGAUCAAUGGAGCAGAAUAAAAAGCCCAGAAAUGAACCCACGGCUAUGUGGCCAAUUAGUCUUUGACAAAGCAGGAAAGAAUAUCCAAUGGGAAAAAGACUGUCUCUUCAACAAACAAUGUUGGGAAAAUUGGAUAGCAACACGCAGAAGAGUGAAAUGGACCGCUUCCUUACACCACACACAAAAAUAAAUUAAAAAUGGAUUAAAGACCUAAAUGUGAGACCUGAAACCAUAAAAAUCCUAGAGGAGAACAUAGGCAGUAAUUUCUUUGAUAUUGGCUGUAGCAACUUCUUUCUAGGUAUGUCUCCUGAGGCAAGGGAAACAAAAGCAAAAAUAAACUAUUGGUACUGCAUCAAAAUAAAAGGCUGCACGGCAAAGGAAACGACAAGACUAAAAGGCAACCAAUGGAACGGGAGAAGAUAUUCGCAAGUGACAUAUCUGGUAAAGAAAUCGAUAAAGAACUUAUAAAACAACACCAAAAGGUGGAUAAUCCAAUUAAAAGAUGGGCAGAAGACAUGAAUAGGCAUUUUCCCAAAGACAUGUAGAUGGCCAACAGGCACAUGAAAAGAUGCCCAUCGUCACUCGUCAUCAAGGAAAUGCAAGUCAAAACUAUGAUGAAAUAUCACCUCACAUCUGUCAGAGUGGCUAAUACCAACAACACAAGAAACAACAGGUGUUGGCAAGGGUGUGGAGAAAGGGGAACGCUUCUGCACUGUUGGGGGGAAUGCAAACUGGUGCAGCCACUCUGGAAAACAGUAUGGAGGUUCCACAAAGAGUUAAAAAUAGAACUACCUUAGGAUUCAGUAAUUGCACUACUAGGUAUUUACCCAAAGAAUACAAAGAUACUAAUUCCAAGGGAUACAUGCACACUGAUGUUUAUAGCAGCACUAUCUACAAUUGUCAAACUAUGGAAACAGCUCAAAUGCUCAUCACCUGAUAAAUGGGUAAAGAUGUGGUGUGUGUAUGUGUGUGUAUAUAUAUACACACACAAGCACGUGCAUGCACACACACAUAUGCACACACACACACACGCACACACA